GAUGAACGCUAGCGGCAGGCUUAAUACAUGCAAGUCGAGGGGCAGCAGGUCUGUAGCAAUACAGAUGCUGGCGACUGGCAAACGGGUGCGGAACACGUACAGAACCUUCCUUCGAGCGGGGAAUAGCCCAGAGAAAUUUGGAUUAAUACCCCAUAGUAUAUUGAAGAGGCAUCUCUUUAAUAUUAAAGAUUUAUCACUUGAAGAUGGCUGUGCGGCUGAUUAGGUAGUUGGCGGGGUAACGGCCCACCAAGCCUACGAUCAGUAACUGGUGUGAGAGCACGACCAGUCACGACGGGCACUGAGACCACGGGCCCGACUCCUACGGGAGGCAG
rnacentral:rRNA from 1 species